GAUGUACGCUGGCGGCGUGCCUAAUACAUGCAAGUCGAGCGAAUGGAUUAAGAGCUUGCUCUUAUGAAGUUAGCGGCGGACGGGUGAGUAACACGUGGGUAACCUGCCCAUAAGACUGGGAUAACUACGGGAAACCGGGGCUAAUACCGGAUAACAUUUUGAAACGCAUGGUUCGAAGUUGAAAGGCGGCUUCGGCUGUCACUUAUGGAUGGACCCGCGUCGCAUUAGCUAGUUGGUGAGGUAACGGCUCACCAAGGCAACGAUGCGUAGCCGACCUGAGAGGGUGAUCGGCCACACUGGGACUGAGACACGGCCCAGACUCCUACGGGAGGCAGCAGUAGGGAAUCUUCCGCAAUGGACGAAAGUCUGACGGAGCAACGCCGCGUGAGUGAUGAAGGCUUUCGGGUCGUAAAACUCUGUUGUUAGGGAAGAACAAGUGCUAGUUGAAUAAGCUGGCACCUUGACGGUACCUAACCAGAAAGCCACGGCUAACUACGUGCCAGCCGCCGCAGUAA
rnacentral:rRNA from 1 species